ACAUACGACCAUAGGGUGUGGAAAACAGGGCUUCCCGUCCGCUCAGCCGUACUUAAGCCACACGCCGGUGAGUUAGUAGUUGGGUGGGUGACCACCAGCGAGUCCUCACUGUUGUAUGUUU
rnacentral:rRNA from 1 species